rnacentral:rRNA from 1 species
CCUACGGGAGGCUGCAGUGAGGAAUAUUGGUCAAUGGUCGGGAGACUGAACCAGCCAAGCCGCGUGAGGGAUGAAGGUACAGAGUAUCGUAAACCUCUUUUGUCAGGGAACAAAGGCGGGGACGUGUCCCCGGAUGAGUGUACCUGAAGAAAAAGCAUCGGCUAACUCCGUGCCAGCAGCCGCGGUAAUACGGAGGAUGCGAGCGUUAUCCGGAUUUGUUGGGGUUAAAGGGUGCGCAGGCGGUCUGUUAAGUCAGCGGUCAAAGCCCGGGGCUCAACCCCGGCCCGCCGUUGAAACUGGCAGUCUCGAGUUGGAGAGAAGUAUGCGGAAUGCGCGGUGUAGCGGUGAAAUGCAUAGAUAUCGCGCAGAACUCCGAUUGCGAAGGCAGCAUGCCGGCUCCACACUGACGCUGAGGCACGAAAGCGUGGGUAUCGAACAGGAUUAGAUACCCGUGUAGUC